rnacentral:rRNA from 1 species
GACGAACGCUGGCGGCGUGCCUAACACAUGCAAGUCGAACGGGACCAGGGGCAACUCUGGUUCAGUGGCGGACGGGUGCGUAACACGUGAGGAACAUGACCUUCGGCGGGGAUAGCCGGCCCAACGGCCGGGUAAUACCGCGUACGACCACAUGGGGACAUCCCUGAGUGGUGAAAGCAGCAAUUGCGCCGAUGGAGUGCCUCGCGGCCUAAUCAGCUAGUUGGUGAGGUAAUGGCUCACCAAGGCGACGAUCCUUAGCUGGUCUGAGAGGACGACCAGCCACACUGGGACUGAGACACGGCCCAGACUCCUACGGGUGGCUG